GGAAUAUUGGACAAUGGGCGCAAGCCUGAUCCAGCCAUGCCGCGUGUGUGAAGAAGGCCUUCGGGUUGUAAAGCACUUUCAGCGAGGAGGAAGGGGUUGUAGUUAAUAGCUGCAACUUUUGACGUUACUCGCCGAAGAAGCACCGGCUAACUCCGUGCCAGCAGCCGCGGUAAUACGGAGGGUGCAAGCGUUAAUCGGAAUUACUGGGCGUAAAGCGCACGUAGGCGGUGUGUUAAGUUGGAUGUGAAAGCCCCGGGCUCAACCUGGGAAUUGCAUUCGAUACUGGGGAGCUAGAGUAUGUGAGAGGGGGGUAGAAUUCCAAGUGUAGCGGUGAAAUGCGUAGAGAUUUGGAGGAAUACCAGUGGCGAAGGCGGCCCCCUGGCACAAUACUGACGCUCAGGUGCGAAAGCGUGGGGAGC
rnacentral:rRNA from 1 species